rnacentral:rRNA from 1 species
UCAGGCCUAACACAUGCAAGUCGAACGGACUACUUCGGUAGUUAGUGGCGAACGGGUGAGUAAUGCCUAGGAAUCUGCCAUUUAGUGGGGGAUAACGUUCCGAAAGGAACGCUAAUACCGCAUACGUCCUACGGGAGAAAGAGGGGGAUCUUCGGACCUCUUGCUAAAUGAUGAGCCUAGGUCAGAUUAGCUAGUUGGUGAGGUAAAGGCUCACCAAGGCGACGAUCUGUAGCGGGUCUGAGAGGAUGAUCCGCCACACUGGAACUGAGACACGGUCCAGACUCCUACGGGAGGCAGCAGUGGGGAAUAUUGGACAAUGGGCGCAAGCCUGAUCCAGCCAUGCCGCGUGUGUGAAGAAGGCCUUUUGGUUGAAAGCACAUGAGCGAGGAGGAGGGUACUCUAGUUAAUACCUAGAUGUAUCGGA